CGGACGGGUGAGUAACGCGUGGGUAACCUGCCCUGUACAGGGGGAUAACAGCUGGAAACGGCUGCUAACACCGCAUAAGCGCACGAGGAGACAUCUCCUUGUGUGAAAAACUCCGGUGGUACAGGAUGGGCCCGCGUCUGAUUAGCUGGUUGGCAGGGUAACGGCCUACCAAGGCAACGAUCAGUAGCCGGUCUGAGAGGAUGAACGGCCACAUUGGAACUGAGACACGGUCCAA
rnacentral:rRNA from 1 species